rnacentral:tmRNA from 1 species
CUGCCAACGCUAAGCGCAGUUCCUUCGCUCUCGCUGCCUGAGCAGUGAUCGAAGCGUCAGACCGGGCAUCCGUCUCCGUCCCGGACCCUGGCGUCAUCUAGGAGACUUGCUCAUCAACUGCUGUCAGGGUGGUUGAUCGGGACUUAAUCCUGACUGGGCCUGUCGGCGACGUGUCUGUGCGAGCGCCGGGGCCGAGAAAAGCGAUAACACUGACUGCACCCGGAGAAGACCUGGAUCGACGCUCGAGGACCGGGGUUCGAUUCCCCGCAGCUCCACCG